rnacentral:rRNA from 1 species
UACGUAGGUGGCAAGCGUUGUCCGGAUUUACUGGGUGUAAAGGGCGUGUAGGCGGGAUAGCAAGUCAGAUGUGAAAUACCGGGGCUUAACUCCGGGGCUGCAUUUGAAACUGCAAUUCUUGAGUGCCGGAGAGGAAAGCGGAAUUCCUAGUGUAGCGGUGAAAUGCGUAGAUAUUAGGAGGAACACCAGUGGCGAAGGCGGCUUUCUGGACGGUAACUGACGCUGAGGCGCGAAAGCGUGGGGAGCAA